rnacentral:tRNA from 1 species
CCCUUAGCUCAGCUGGUUAGAGCAGACGGCUCAUAACCGUCCGGUCGUAGGUUCGAGUCCUACCUGCGGAGCCA